rnacentral:rRNA from 1 species
GAGUGGCGAACUGGUGAGUAACACGUGGGAAACCUGCCCAGAAGCGGGGGAUAACACCUGGAAACAGAUGCUAAUACCGCAUAACAACUUGGACCGCAUGGUCCGAGUUUGAAAGAUGGCUUCGGCUAUCACUUUUGGAUGGUCCCGCGGCGUAUUAGCUAGAUGGUGGGGUAACGGCUCACCAUGGCAAUGAUACGUAGCCGACCUGAGAGGGUAAUCGGCCACAUUGGGACUGAGACACGGCCCAAACUCCUACGGGAGGCAGCAGUAGGGAAUCUUCCACAAUGGACGAAAGUCUGAUGGAGCAACGCCGCGUGAGUGAAGAAGGGUUUCGGCUCGUAAAACUCUGUUGUUAAAGAAGAACAUAUCUGAGAGUAACUGUUCAGGUAUUGACGGUAUUUAACCAGAAAGCCACGGCUAACUACGUGCCAGCAGCCGCGGUAAUACGUAGGUGGCAAGCGUUGUCCGGAUUUAUUGGGCGUAAAGCGAGCGCAGGCGGUUUUUUAAGUCUGAUGUGAAAGCCUUCGGCUCAACCGAAGAAGUGCAUCGGAAACUGGGAAACUUGAGUGCAGAAGAGGACAGUGGAACUCCAUGUGUAGCGGUGAAAUGCGUAGAUAUAUGGAAGAACACCAGUGGCGAAGGCGGCUGUCUGGUCUGUAACUGACGCUGAGGCUCGAAAGUAUGGGUAGCAAACAGGAUUAGAUACCCUGGUAGUCCAUACCGUAAACGAUGAAUGCUAAGUGUUGGAGGGUUUCCGCCCUUCAGUGCUGCAGCUAACGCAUUAAGCAUUCCGCCUGGGGAGUACGGCCGCAAGGCUGAAACUCAAAGGAAUUGACGGGGGCCCGCACAAGCGGUGGAGCAUGUGGUUUAAUUCGAAGCUACGCGAAGAACCUUACCAGGUCUUGACAUACUAUGCAAAUCUAAGAGAUUAGACGUUCCCUUCGGGGACAUGGAUACAGGUGGUGCAUGGUUGUCGUCAGCUCGUGUCGUGAGAUGUUGGGUUAAGUCCCGCAACGAGCGCAACCCUUAUUAUCAGUUGCCAGCAUUAAGUUGGGCACUCUGGUGAGACUGCCGGUGACAAACCGGAGGAAGGUGGGGAUGACGUCAAAUCAUCAUGCCCCUUAUGACCUGGGCUACACACGUGCUACAAUGGAUGGUACAACGAGUUGCGAACUCGCGAGAGUAAGCUAAUCUCUUAAAGCCAUUCUCAGUUCGGAUUGUAGGCUGCAACUCGCCUACAUGAAGUCGGAAUCGCUAGUAAUCGCGGAUCAGCAUGCCGCGGUGAAUACGUUCCCGGGCCUUGUACACACCGCCCGUCACACCAUGAGAGUUUGUAACACCCAAAGUCGGUGGGGUAACCUUU